AGUGCUGUCUGCUUCCUUGCCAGGUCCUCCAAAGGUGACCGAAGGGGACUUUAAUGUGCAGAAACAGCAAUUGAGCCUGGGGAUGAGGUUACUUCACAGACAGACAUUUCACUGUACAGAUUCACACAUCUGACUCAAAAGGGGAAGGUAUGUUUACGUGUCAUGAUGGUAACGUUGCUGUGUGGUACUCGAUAUGGAAAGCUCUAUAGCUGUGGGAAACAGAAAUACGGUUGUCUUUCAUUCCUCUCUUGUUUUAGGGUGAGCAUAUCUCUGAAGAUUUGCCAUGCCCUCCUUAUAACCUCCAGUCACUGAUUGAUUCUUAAUAUGUAGACCGAGCCACAUUGACUGGUUACAAGUUCAAGGAAAUUCCCUGACUUGCUAAGAUGUCAGAAAAUGUAACAGUUUUCCAAUUUGUCUGUAAUAGAUAUUAAGUAAUUUCCCAUAUGAAUGCAGUAGAUCUUCAGUACACUAUUGAACCAACCCUUGGAGGUUGAAUGGAAGCGGGGUUGCUACUGUACAAUGUGGACGUGGGGCGGUUGCAAUGUUGAAUACUGUCACCAGAGGGUAGUACUGAGGUCAAAAUGGAUCUGAGAAAAUAGCUGCGCCAUUUGUUUAUUAAAAAUUAACAUGGACACUACUAUGUUCAUAUCUAGCCCAGUCAAAACUGUUCGCUGCUCUGGCACCCCAAUGGUGGAACAAGCUCCGUCACGACGCCAGGACAGCGGAGUCAAUCACCAUCUUCCGGAGACACCUGAAACCCCACCUCUUUAAGGAAUACCUAGGAUAGGAUAAAGUAAUCCUUCUAACCCCCCCCCCCUUAAAAGAUUUAGAUGCACUAUUGUAAAGUGGUUGUUCCACUGGAUAUCAUAAGGUGCAUGCACCAAUUUGUAAGUCGCUCUGGAUAAGAGCGUCUGCUAAAUGACUUAAAUGUAAAUGUAAAUGUAAAUGUAGCAACCUUUUAUCUGAUGUAGCAUUGUUUAAAACAUCCAUGUUGAGAAUAUGAACAAUACAGGACCACCGUACAAGAAGCGGUAUAUAAACACCAGUUGAUGCACACAAAAUGAUUUCUAAUAUCCAUUCCACAAGUAUAUUGUUGAAAGUCUGUUGUUGACAGGAAACAAAACAUGCUUUUUUCAUGGUUUUGCAAUAUUGUCAGUUGAGCCCAGAUUCAAAUAUACUGUGUUUCAUAUGAUGGUUGCAUGUGAUGAAGUGAACAUUGGAGCUCUGACCACAAGCUCCUAAAUGCCUGACCUCUUUGCCUCUCCAACAAUCUUAGGCAAGUCCUCAUCAAUCUUGUUCCAUAUUAUUUAUUUUUUAGAGGUUUGGACUCAUUGUGUUACCUGUCCUCUACUGUCUGCUUGUCCUCUUUGCAUUUUUAGUUUUUACCUUUUAUUUUAGGUUCCUCCUCCACGGUUCUUCCUUCAUAUCUCUCUCCUCUAUUGCUGCAUCUAAUUUCUUUUUCGGAGGAGAGUCCACCGCAGUUUCUGAUUGGUUGGUUUCUCUACGUUAGUGUGUUCCAUCUCCGCUGAAUCCUUUUUGUUCUUGGACGACUUCUUAUUUUUGAUAUUAGUGUCGGUGUCAGUCACUUGGAGAAAUUCAUGAUUUGAUUGACAUUACUGUUUUGUAGAAGACUGUCUCUGCAUAUACAUUUGCAAUUAUUUAAUUAAAUAUGUACACAAUGGUUUUAGUUUAUCUGAUAAAGAUUGAGACUAUUUUGUGUAAAAAAUUAACUAAUCUUAUCAAUUGAUCUUAUUGGAUAAUUGAUGGACUGAAUAAAGGAUUGGACCCCAUCUUUUCCUCAAUGAGCUUUCCUUACUACUCUCUGUGAUGUGACACAUUUGCAUGAUGCUUUAAGAGGAAUCCAUUUUGGACUUGAAUGAAUGAUAUGUACCCAUUGAUUCUUAAAGAAUAUAACUUAGAAAUGCCUCAUGAGCUUCGUUCAACUGUGAUUCUCCAUCAGAACCAAAAAUAUAAGCUUGUUUUCCUCCAAUGUUUGUAAUCAAUAAAUGUAAACAAACACUAUAUAGCCUCAUAACAUGGUUAAAACUAUAAUUUUGAUAUCAUGGAUGGUCAGUCAUUGCAUCCAUGGCUCUUUCUAUGAAUAUGACAGUGGUUACAUUUCACCAGCCCCAUCCUUCGGAUGUAUUUUUUACCAAAACAGGGGCGGGGAUGUACUUUGUUAUUGUUUCAACUCCUGAUUGCUGCUUUAAGUAAAAUAUUUAAUAAAGUGCCUAAAGCUGCUGAUUUAGAAG